AGAGUUUGAUCAUGGCUCAGGACGAACGCUGGCGGCGUGCCUAAUACAUGCAAGUCGAGCGGAUGAUGAGGAGCUUGCUCCUCUGAUUCAGCGGCGGACGGGUGAGUAACACGUGGGCAACCUGCCUGUAAGACUGGGAUAACUUCGGGAAACCGGAGCUAAUACCGGAUAACUCUUCGAACCUCAUGGUUCGAAGAUAAAAGAUGGUUUCGGCUAUCACUUACAGAUGGGCCCGCGGCGCAUUAGCUAGUUGGUGAGGUAACGGCUCACCAAGGCGACGAUGCGUAGCCGACCUGAGAGGGUGAUCGGCCACACUGGGACUGAGACACGGCCCAGACUCCUACGGGAGGCAGCAGUAGGGAAUCUUCCGCAAUGGACGAAAGUCUGACGGAGCAACGCCGCGUGAGCGAUGAAGGCCUUCGGGUCGUAAAGCUCUGUUGUUAGGGAAGAACAAGUACCAGUUAACUGCUGGUACCUUGACGGUACCUAACGAGAAAGCCACGGCUAACUACGUGCCAGCAGCCGCGGUAAUACGUAGGUGGCAAGCGUUGUCCGGAUUUAUUGGGCGUAAAGCGCGCGCAGGCGGUUCUUUAAGUCUGAUGUGAAAGCCCCCGGCUCAACCGGGGAGGGUCAUUGGAAACUGGGG
rnacentral:rRNA from 1 species